AGGCGGAGAAUAUCUCGUAGGGGACUUUUAAAGGAUUAAAAGUGGCCUACAGGCUAGUUUACACGAGGUUCGCAGAGAUGCAUCAUUGGGAAUCUGGAAUGGAGAGAAUGUGUAACUAGUAUAGUUUACUUUCUGCAUUUAUAAGAACAUAUUUUAUUAUGUUGAUUAAGUGACCCAUUUAGACUGGUUGUUUUAAAUACUUAUUUAUUUAUUUAUAAUAAAGUUCAAAGUUUAGUUA